GAUGAACGCUGGCGGCGUGCUUAACACAUGCAAGUCGAACGGAAAGACCCUGCUUUUGUGGGGUGCCCGAGUGGCGAACGGGUGAGUAACACGUGAGCAACCUGCCCUUGACUUUGGGAUAACUUCAGGAAACUGGGGUUAAUACAGGAUAGGAGCUCCUGUUGCAUGGAGGGGGUUGGAACGUUUCGGCGGUCGGGGUUGGACUCGCGGCUUAUCAGCUUGUUGGUGGGGUAGUGGCUUACCAAGGCUUUGACGGGUAGCCGGCCUGAGAGGGUGACCGGCCACAUUGGGACUGAGAUACGGCCCAGACUCCUACGGGAGGCAGCAGUGGGGAAUAUUGCACAAUGGGCGGAAGCCUGAUGCAGCAACGCCGCGUGCGGGAUGACGGCCUUCGGGUUGUAAACCGCUUUCGCCUGUGACGAAGCGUGAGUGACGGUAAUGGGUAAAGAAGCACCGGCUAACUACGUG
rnacentral:rRNA from 1 species